rnacentral:rRNA from 1 species
GAUGAACGCUGGCGGCGUGCCUAAUACAUGCAAGUCGAGCGAACGGACGAGAAGCUUGCUUCUCUGAUGUUAGCGGCGGACGGGUGAGUAACACGUGGAUAACCUACCUAUAAGACUGGGAUAACUUCGGGAAACCGGAGCUAAUACCGGAUGAUAUUUUGAACCGCAUGGUUCAAAAGUGAAAGACGGUCUUGCUGUCACUUAUAGAUGGAUCCGCGCUGCAUUAGCUAGUUGGUAAGGUAACGGCUUACCAAGGCAACGAUGCAUGGCCGACCUGAGAGGGUGAUCGGCCACACUGGAACUGAGACACGGUCCAGACUCCUACGGGAGGCAGCAGUAGGGAAUCUUCCGCAAUGGGCGAAAGCCUGACGGAGCAACGCCGCGUGAGUGAUGAAGGUCUUCGGAUCGUAAAACUCUGUUAUUCGGGAAGAACAUAUGUGUAAGUAACUGUGCACAUCUUGACGGUACCUAAUCAGAAAGCCACGGCUAACUACGUG